AUGAUGAAACCCCGAUAGCCAGAAAAUGAAGAAAAUCGCAUGGACUGA
rnacentral:snoRNA from 1 species